AGGAGAAGAAAUGUUGUAGUUGAGAAAACUACAUGUUUCCCCUUUCAAGAAAAGCUGUCAAUUGCCAAGUAUAAUUUCAAUUACCGCCAAAAACGUGAUUUUGUGAGAUUUUAGUGUGCAGCCAAUCAAAACUUGUUUAACAUACACUCUCGCAUCAGUGAUUUAUGUAGUACAAUACCAAUUCUUUUCACUCACUGUGACAAUUUUAUAUCAGUUUUAUCAUAACUCUUUAAAAUGAGGUAAGGAUUUGUUCUCUGAAAUGGGUCUAGCUAUGUUUGGUAGCUCUUUAUAAAAGGUCAGUUUUAUAUAGAAUAUAUAGGGAAAACUAUUUAGCUAAUUGUGACCUAUAAGAAAAUGUGGGCAAAAAUUGAGAUUUGUCCAGAUAUUGAUAUAAAUGAACUAGUUUGGUCAGAUUUUGGUAAAAAUGAGCUUUUCAUUGAAAUUUUGAUGCAAAAAUUGAUAAAAACCAAAAAAAUCACAUUUUCACUGUUUUGGGUGUAUUUUUUUUAAAAAUGCACAUUUACACUCUAAAUUUUGCCCAUCUAUACCUUUCAGAGGGGACAUUUGGUAUAUUUCAAAGUGUUAGUGUGUAACUUGCUUGCAAUUUAUAGUGAAAAUUUAUGAAUUAGGGCAAAAACCAGCACUGGCUAGAAGAACUGGUUAAAAAUUAUGUCGUGACAUCAAUUUUAAAGGAAAAUUGGCGCAGGGACCCGCGUUAGUGAAAAUGCCAUAAAACCUUGAAAACUGAUUUAAUCAAGCUGAUACUUGGUAUUUUUCAUGCAGAUAUGUUACUGGUACUAUACAAAUGAAAUUGAGACUAUUACAGAAAAAAAGAUUUUCUUAUAGGCCUAACUAAACUAAAGGAACCAGCGUGGGAGCCAUCUGGUCUAGUUGCGUAAUGGCUGCCAGGUAUUUGAACACUAAUUUUUCACUUGGCAUGGCAACAGAGGUCUAAAUUGAAGCUAGUUUCUGUUUAAAUUUCAUUGUGGAUGUAUUUUUGACAUUUUGGUAGGAAAAAUGGGAGAGCAGGUUGUAUUUGGUGAAGUGAAGCUCAAUUUUAGUAUGAGUAGUACUUUCAGGUCACAGCAGUGUGAUUUUGAUGUCAGUUUACAGUAAGCAAAUGUGACCAGAGAAAUCUCUCUUAGAGGAUACAUGACCCCUACUUAUCUCUUCAUUUUAUAUCUGUUUUAUCAUAACUCUUUAAAAUGAGGUAAGGAUUUGUUCUCUGAAAUGGGUCUAGCUAUGUUUGGUAGCUCUUUAUAAAAGGUCAGUUUUAUAUAGAAUAUAUAGGGAAAACUAUUUAGCUAAUUGUGACCUCAAAGAAUUUAAUUGCCAUGGCAACCGGAAGGAAAAACUUUAAAAAUCUUCUUGUCCAAAACCACAGGGCCUAGGGCUUUUAUAUCUGGUGUGUAGCAUCAUCUGGUGGUCCUCUACCAAAAUUGUUCAAAUUAUCCCCCUAGGAUCAAAUUUGGCUCCGCCCAAGGGGUCACAUGGUUUAUAUAGACUUAUAUAGGGAAAAUUUUGAAAAUCUUCUUGUACAAAACCACAUGGCCUAGGCCUUUGAUAUUUGGUAUGUAGCAUCAUCUAGUGGUCCUCUUCCAAAAUUGUUCAAAUUAUCCCUCCAGGGUCAAAUAUGGCCCCGCCCCAGGGGUCCCAAGUUUUACAUAGGCUUAUAUAUGAAAAAAGUUUAAAAAUCUUGUCUGAAACCAUACGACCUAUGCUUUAGAUAUUUGGCAUGAUGCAUUGUCUAGUAGUUCUCUACCAAAAUUUUUCAAAUUAUGCCCCUGGGGUUAAAAGAGGCCCUUGCCCUGGGGUCACUUCGUAACUAUGACGUGAGUUAUAUAGGAAAAAAUACUUAAACAAAUCAUUUGAUCCUAUUUCCAAGACUGUUUAAUUAUAAUUACCUGAUGACCCCAAGUAAUACGAUGUCACUUGACUGUGACCUUGACCUACUGACCAACUUUCUUGUGUUUUUUUUAAGAUACAGCCUUGAAAUUUUGAUGACAUACACAGUUUUGCACACCAAUCAUAAAACAAAGUUUCAUUGAGCAUGAAUGUGCCCUACUGACUUUCUUGAUAUUGUAUCAUCAGUUUGAUCUUUGAAACAUAUAGCUCAUAUUACUCAGGUGAGCGAUCCGGGGUCAUCAUGACUCUCUUGUUUAAAUAUAAGUAUAUACAAUGUAGUGUCACACAGUGCUUAUUAUCAGCAUUAUACACUAAAGUGCUGUCCAACUGAAAUAUUAAAAGAUUUUUAUGAAUUUGUCAGGACUCCAGAUAAGAUGCAUAUUAGCACAUUGAAAUAUAGUUGAAUAUCUUUACCUUGAUAUCGGUUAGCUCGAUACUUCUGAUAGCACGAUGUGUUUUAGUUGGUCCCGACUUUUCUCUGUAUAGUUUAAUGGUAUUAUUUAUCAUUAGCUCGAUAUCAUUAGCUCAAUUUUCUUUUUAGCUGGAGGGGUUUCACACCUGGUUUCGUCGAUAUCACAGAGCGUCUAAAAUAUCGAUGUUAUUUUAAGGUGUGUAAGUUAACCUAUUGUUGUCCGCCGAUGUACUAAUUAUAAUCAGGUUAGAUUGUGCGUGUGUUUUUGUUAUAUGUUAGCAAGUUUGCAUUUAAUUCGCAAUAAUCAGUCUAAAAGGCAUGCAAGUUGGAAAAUCUGUUUUCCAGUAUAACAAUAUUUCGAUUGAGUAACAAUAUGCGUAUUUAAAUGACAAAUUUUCGUUAUUAAAACCCAUUAGAAAUGACGUAUUUACGUUUUAUAUUAUUUCUUUCCCCUUUUAAACCCACUAAAAGAAGCAUGGGAUGUAAUGACAAUAUAGACGUCCUACACAGAUACAAAAUAUAGUCCAAGAUAUACAAUAUCAUUACGUCGAACUUCUGAUAUGUCAAAUUUUUGCAGUCCCUGGAAUAUCGAGGUAAUGGUAUUUGACUGUAAUGCAUAUACGCAUAUCUGAUAAUUUUCAAGUGUUUAAAUACCUAUGUGAAAUAACAGAAAAGCAGUGAUUUUUUUCUAGUGUAAACAACAACUAAUUCGUCUGAAUGCUUUAAUGUGUCAGUCUAGCUAAUAUUCCCAUUGUCGAUUAGGUGUUUGCAUUAACAUAUAAGUUUGGAACUGCAUUGGUACGGUGGUAUAUUUUAAAGUGGGGUUGGUUAAAAUUAUCAACUUCUAGUGCAGUGAAAACAACAAAUUGACACUGUUAAAGAAAUUAAAAAGUAAACUGUGUUAACACUAUGCAUAUUAUAAACCAACAGAAAGUGAUCCCUAAAGCAUCAUUGAAAUUACUGGAUUGAGUAAUUAGUGUAUCACCAAAGCAUGUGUCUGUUUCCAGGAAAACCCUGGCAGUUUGGAAUGAGGGCUUAUCAAUUCCGGAGAUCCCUACAAAUUAAAUUAAAAUGUGCAUUAUGCAUUUAGUGCAAAAGGAACAAGAGCUGUCUGAUGGCAGCACGCUCAACUUUUCAAAGGCUUGUCAAUAAAAUGGAUUAUAUAAUAGUACUGUUACAGCUGUGUCACAAUAAGGGUCAAAAUUAUAAAACCUGCUGUAAUUUACAAGUACUUACAGUGGCAGUAAUUUGUAUGCAGUAUUAACACAUGUGGCGGGGUCAACACCUUGUUAUUUACUGUUUCUUUAUAAUAAUUUACUAACCAUGUAUUGUGCUGAUUUCAUGGUAGAUUACGGUUACCGUAGAUGUCGGUAGUUAAAUAGUUUUGGGUAAUAGAAGUAGCACAUGAAAUCAGUCAAGUAGAACAAUAUCAUGCGAAUCAUUCACUUUCCACGCAGAGUUGAUAGCUUGAGCAGCAGCUUAGAUUUUUUUUAGUUUUUUAUUCAAAUUACUAUUAUUCUAUUACUAUUGAUAGAAGGCACCUUGCAGUAUGUAGUACAAGCACAGCUGCACAGUAACAGUUCAGAGGGCGAUUGUGGGUGUAAGCACAGAUGUGAGACAGAUACAUUGUUGAAGAUCACUGAUAUCAUUACAUCACUAUAAUAUUAUAAAACUGAACCGGAGUUGUUGUCCAUUACAUCACUCAUGAGGUCACAUUUUGGAGCCCCCAACGACAGGGAUUGACAAUGCCCUUGGUACUACCAGUUUACUCCUGGAUAGAGGAUCUCGUAGAUGUCACAUUAGCAAUGAACUUUUUGGAAAAUCUACUCACUUUAGUGAUGACGACAAACAUUAUACACCAUUUUAAGCAGUGUAUACACAGCUGCACAGUAACAGUUCAGAGGGCGUUUGUGGGUGUACGCACAGAUGUGAGACAGAUACAUUGUUGAAGGUCACUGAUAUCAUCACAUCACUUGAAACCUGUGAAGUUUUAGUGAAGCAGAAUAGUUACAGAUAUGCAGGUCUUUGUUCAGCAUGGUGUAUAUGGAAAACACAGUGGAUGGCCAGCAUAGAAAACAUUUAAUGAGUGUUCAUGCAUGAAAUACAUUUUUAUAAGUUCUUUGUUUGAAACCGGUAUGUGGAAAACAGAAUGGGGUAUUACAAAUGCCGCAAUGUGAUAUUCUCUUGAAUGUUUAGAAAUUUGAGCUGCGGCCGAGGAAAUCUCACCUAAGUCGGAUAUGUAGUUUUUCUAUUCUUGUUUACAUUAAAUUGCUCUUUUGGUUACUUGAAUUUACACAGUACACACAGUCUGAAUAGAAAAGUAUGUGUUAUCAUAAUCUGUGCAAGAAAAAUCAGUUCAAGGACUUGAAAAUUGAACAGAUAAGGCCUGAAAUUGGCAUAUUUUAAUUGAUUUUGAAGGAAAACAGGCAGAUUUUCACACACUAGACUUGCAUAUUGGUUUCCUUAAUGCUUAAUUGAACAUAAAUCAUCAUAUCUGAGGUCCUGAAUUGUAUAUUUACUUAUUCUGUUGGAUUUCUUACACUUUAGUACCUAAAAACCUGAAAUGAGAGCACUCGGACAAUGUGAAGUUUGUCGCAUAGACGGGGAUUGACCACCUUUGUACAUAUAUGUCUACAGCUUCUCAGAUUUGACCGAAGACAAUUGUUCGGUGUUGUGAAUGGAUGUUGUUCGGCCGCAGGCCUUCCAAUCACACAGAAGAUCCUGGUUCGAUCACACGAAGGGUCACUUCCAUUGAUAUUAGUCACCGGAAAAAAUAGGAGCACCAGUUGUAGUUUCUCAGCCUUUCAUAAUAAACAGCUUCCCUGAGAAAAGAGAAAAAAGUACAAGUGAAUUAAAGCACAUUGAGGACAGUACAUGAGAUAACAAAGCACAUUGAAGUACAUGAGAUGACAACGAUAUUUUCAUUCACACCCGAGUCCAUGGAGGCAGUAAACAGUUUCUAGCCCUGCAGUCGAAUUGGCCAGGGUCAAACUCAGAAAUAUAAGGUGUGCUUCAUUACAGUUACAGAUCAGUUUGGUUAUUCGGGGCACCACGACUUGUUUUGGGACUGCGAAAAAACUGUUUAUUGCCACCUUAAGAUUGAGGUCUUAGCCUGUACGGAAGUGUAUUUACAGUUGUAGUAUCCGGGUUUGCAUUUUCGGAAACAUAAAGAACAUCCCUUGCUUCAGUAGUGUUCAAUCGCUGCAGUUGAAGGUCUGGAGUGUCAGUCAUUUCAACAUUCAUAAUAGGUGUGCUUCAUUACAGUUGCAGACCGGUUUGGUUAUUCUGGGCACCACCACUUGUUUUGGGACUGCGAAAAAAAUGUUUAUUGCCACCCAUUGCUUUUUAGCGAAAACGAACUACACACAAUUGUCAUGAUGUUGUAUGCAAUUUUUCCAUAAUUCCUUAAAAAAAGCUGACAAUCAGCGUAUUUUUUAUGAUAAGUAACAUCAAAAUUUAAGGAACUAACUCUGGUUUAUCCUAUUGCAUCAAGUAAACAAAGUUAAAAACACUUCCAGACGACAUUACAAAAGUGUACCAGUAUCCGGAUAGUUCAUUUUGGAUAUAUUUUUGUACAGAGUUUUAUAGCACUAUUCUGUUAAUGAAAUAUUGACAAAAGACCUAAUCAAUGUAAAAUGAAUUUUGUUAAAUAUUAGUUUACAAUGUGACCUGAAACAGACCUUUUCAUUAUGUUGUAACAUGUAGCAUGGUUUCAAGCUUAUAUACAUUUAUAAAGGCCUCCACUAUAUCAUAUUCACAUGAACAAGCUGACAUCCAUAGCGACAUUUUUAAGAAAAAGGCUUGAAUGUUCUGACCAGAAGUACAAAGUAAUGUUAAAACCCAUUUGUAAAUUGUUACUGGUUUUUGGAAGAUAUCAUUUACAACUUUUAAAUUAUUCUUUGAUAAGUGUGCAAUAAUAUCGUAAGUGUUUUUUGAAUACAUUACUAUAAACAUCUGGAAACGCAAUUACGGUAACUUUUAUUACGCCCCCCUUCGAAGGAGGGGUAUAUUGUUUUGCAGAUGUCGGUCUGUCGGUCGGUCGGAAUGUAGACCAAUCCGUUUCCGGAUGAUAACUCAAGAACUCUUGGGCCUAGGAUCAUGAAAGUUGAUAGGGAGGUUGGUCAUCAUUAGCAGAUGACCUCUAUUGAUUUUGAGGCCAGUAUGUUAAAGGUCAAGGUCACAGUGACCCUGAACAGUUAAACCGUUUCCGGAUGAUAACUCAAGAACGCUUAGGCCUAGGAUCACAAAAUUUUAUUGGGAGAUUGGUCAUGACCAGCAGAUGACCCCUAUUGAUUUUGAGGUCAGUAUGUCAAAGGUCAAGGUCACAGUGACCUUGAAUAGUAAAAUGGUUUCCGGAUGAUAACUCAAGAACACUUGGGCCUAGGAUCAUGAAAGUUGAUAGGGAGGGAGGUUGGUCAUGACCAGCAGAUGAUCCCUAUUGAUUUUGAGGUCAGUAUGUUAAAAGUCAAGGUCACAGUGACCCUGAGCUGUUAAACUGUUUCUGGAUGAUAACUCAAGGACAUUUAACUCAAGAACACUUGGGCCUAGGAUCAUGAAAGUUGAUAGGAAGGUUGGACAUGACCAGCAGAUGACCCCUAUUGAUUUUGAGGUCAUUAGGUCAAGGUCACAUUGGCCAGGAACAGUUAAACGGUUUCUGAUCUUCUUGUCCAAAACCAUAGGGCCUAGGGCUUAGAUAUUUUGUAUGUAGUACAAUCUAGUGGUCCUCUACAAAGAUUGUUCAGAUUAUUUCCCUGGGGUCAAAUAUGGCCCCACCCUGGGGGUCACAUGGUUUAUAUAGACUUACAUAGAAAAAAACUUUGAAAAACCUCUUGUCCAAAACUACAGGGCCAAGGUCUGUGACAUUUUGUAUAUGACAUCAUCUAGUGGUCCUCUACUAAGAUUGUUCAAAUUAUUCCCCUAGGGUCAAAUAUGGCUCCACCCUGGGGGUCACAUAGUUUACACAGACUUAUAUAGGGAAAAACUUUGUAAAUCUUCUUGUCCAAACCACAAAGACUAUGGCUUUGAUAUUUUGUAAUGUAGCAUCAUCUAGUGGUUCUCUACCAAGUUUUUUCAAAUUAUCCCUCUAGGGUCAAAUAUGGCCCCGCCCCAGGGGUGACAUGGUUCAUAUAGACUUAUAUAGGGAAAAACUUAGAAUCUUCAUGUCCAUAACUUAUAUCAUUCAAAUUUGGACCAUAUGUGUAGUUAUGAAUGGCAAGAUGAACCUUGACAUGAGUUGACCUUGAUCUUGACCUAGUGACCUACUUUCUCAUUUUUGUAGCUACAGCCUUCAAAUUUAGACCACAUGCAUAGGUUUGUGUACCGAAAAAAACUUUGAUCUUCUUAUUGACCUAGUGACGAGUUGACCUUGAUCUUGACCUAGUGACCUACUUUCUCAUUUUUGUAGCUACAGCCUUCAAAUUUAGACCACAUGCAUAGGUUUGUGUACCGAAAAAAACUUUGAUCUUAUUGACCUAGUGACCUACUUUCACAUUUUUGAAGGUACAUGCCUCAGAUUUGGACCACAUGCAUAGUGUUUUUGUUCCCCAAUAAAAUUUGACCUUGAUUUUGACCUAGUGACCUUCUUUCACAUUUCUCAAGCUACAGCCUUCAAAUUUGAACCACAAGCAUAGUUUUGUGUACUGAAAUGAACUUUGAUCUUCAGAUUGACUUAGUGACCUACUUCCACAUUUCUGAAGGUACAGGCUUCAAAUUUAGACCAAUUGCAUAAUUUUGUGUUCAGAAAUAAAAUUUGACCUUCAUUUUGACCUAGUGACCUACUUUCACUUUUGUCAAGCUACAGUCUUCAAAUUUGAACCACAUUUUUGUGUACGGAAAUGAACUUAGAUCUUGAGAUUGACCUAGUGACCUACUUCCACAUUUCUCAAGCCACAGGCUUCAAAUUUGGACCGCAUGCAUAUUUUUGUGUUCUGAAUUUAAAUUUGACAUUGAUUUUUACCUAUUACCUACUUUCACAUUUCUCAAGCUACAGCCUCCAAAUUUGAAGCAUUUGCAUAGUUCUGUCUACCGAAAUGAACUUUGACCUUGAAAUUGAUCUAGUGACCUACUUUCACAUUUCUCAAGCCACAGCUUUCAAAUUUGGACCACAUACACAUUGUUUUGUAUCGAAAUGAAAUUUGACCUUGAUCUAGUCUUGAAAUUUGGAACAUUCAAAAAUGGCUCAGUGGAUGGUGCCAAGAUCACUCUGUAAUCUCUUGUUAGGUUAGUAGGUAAGAGGUCAAGGUCAGAUUAAACCAGAAUAGUAAUUUUUGUUUACAGUGAGCAUAUAAUUUCUGUUCCUUGUGCAAUUACUUAAUGCAUCAAGGGGUGCAUUUCGUGUUCGACGAGCUCUUGUUUAAACAAUUAUAAAAUGCAACAUGAAACUUUCGAGAACAUUUUUCUGCUUUUGUAAUCAAUCAGUAAUAAAUCUUGAAAAAAGUUUAACUUACUAGAAAAAAAAGAAAAAAAGUUUGGUCCUAGUGUGACUUAAACCUACACCCUCCUGAAAAAAUUAGUCAAAGUAGGUUUAUGGUAGGAAUUAAAUACUCUUCAAAAGGAGGUACACUGUUAUGGGUCCAUUACUUUUAAGUUUUUUUUAAACAAAACAAAUUUUACAACUGAAGGGAGGUUACUCGCUUUUUAAAAAGAACACUUAAAAGCCCUUAGUAAAUGGAAUUUUAUUAAAUUAAGGAAUUAGUUUCAGGCUACUCUAAAGUGAUGUAAAAUUUUAAGAUAAAAAAUUUAAGGUAAUAUUUCUUGUUCAGUCUAAACAUUUUAUUUACAUGCAUGGAUUCACCAAUGGUAAAUAAAGAAAAGUAUGCACUUGAA